rnacentral:rRNA from 1 species
UGUAAAGUUCAAGCUCCGAUUAUGAGGGCGAAACCGCGAAUGGCUCAUUAAAUCAGUCAUAAUCUACUUGAUUGUUUAAAGGUUAUAUGGAUAACUGUGGUAAUUCUAGAGCUAAUACAUGCACAAAGGGGGCGACUCUUGGGUCAAACUAAGAGAAGCUCUGCGUUUAUUAGACUAAGACCAAUGACUGUAGCAAUACGGUCUUUUUUAAGGUGACUCUGAGUAAAUAAUGGGUGAAAGCCCAUGUUGCUGACCUGACAUUAAAAGCUCGCAAGGGCUGUCAGGCAAAUCAAUCGAGUGUCUGCUCUAUCAACUGUGGAUGGUAGGGUAAUUGCCUACCAUGGUGAUGACGGGUAACGGGGAGUUAGGGCUCGACUCCGGAGAACAAGCCUGAGAAACGGCUAGUAGGACUAAGGUCUGCAGCAGGCGCGAAACUUACACAAUGCUAGAUUAAAAUUAGCGAUGUAGUGAAGAAAAAUAACGAUGUACUUCCAUUUAAACAUGGUAGUACAAUUGGAAUGAGACGACUAUAAACCAGUUAGUCGAGUAACAAAUGGAGGGCAAGUCUGGUGCCAGCAGCCGCGGUAAUUCCAGCUCCAUUAGCAUACAUUAAAGUUGUUGCGGUUAAAAAGCUCGUAGUUGAAUUUUAGGCGGGCUCUAUUGGGAUGCAAUCGUUAAGACUUUAGGUUCGUUGGUCAGCCCAUGUCCUACAAGUUGGUUGUCAUUUCCCUAUAGGAACCCGCUGUUUCGUCACUUAAUCGAGUGCGAAGCGGGCUGGUACUAGGAUGAUAUUAACUUAUCAUCUUGUUUCAGCAUGUUUACCUUGAGAAAAUUAGAGUGCUCACAGCAGGCAGUUGGGGUGUAAAAGCUCCUUUAUGCUUGAAUAAUGUUGCAUGGAAUAAUAGAAUACGGCCUCGGUUCUAUUCUGUUGGUCUUAUAGAACAACAAACAAGUUGGUUGAAGCGAUCAAAAGUCUGUUUGCGAGUGUGGCUUCAUAGUGGUUUGUUGGUACGUAUUGUUGUACUAGGUGUCUUGUUGCCUGGGAGUUAAACCUCAGAGCCAUACGCCUAGAUUCGCAGCUUUACGCUAUCUUCAUCAUCUGCUAAGUUGCCAUUAAAGCACUCCUUACAUGGCUAGCUUUUCUAAUCAACUGAGGCAAUGGUUAAAAGAAAUAGUCGCGGCGGCAUCAGUACUGCAUCGUGAGAGGUGAAAUUCUUAGACCGAUGCAAGACUAACUGAAGCGAAAGCGUUUGCCGAGGAUAUUUUCAUUAAUCAAGAACGAAAGUUAGAGGUUCGAAGGCGAUCAGAUACCGCCCUAGUUCUAACCAUAAACGUUGCCAACUAGCAAUUGGGUUGCGAUUCCUUUAAUCGAAGCUUAAAACACUUCGAUCAUUAUGAUCCACCCAGCGGCUCUCGUAGGGAAACCAAAGUGUUUGGGUUCCGGGGGAAGUAUGAUUGCAAAGUUGAAACUUAAAGGAAUUGACGGAAGGGCACCACCAGGAGUGGAGCCUGCGGCUUAAUUUGACUCAACACGGGGAAACUUACUAGAUUAGAACUCUGGAAUGAUUGACAGAUUGAUAGCUCUUUCUUGAUUCAGAGGAUGGUGGUGCAUGGCCGUUCUUGAUUCGUAUUCCGAAACGUCUGCUUAAUUGCGAUAACGAGUGAGACCUCACCCAACUAACUAGUCGUUUUGGUGCGCUGUGGAACGCAAAAGUCCGGGUGGGAUUUGUGCAUGCGAUGCAGGUUUCGGCUUGUUGUCGUAUGUACUGCCCGCUUUGGAUGUUCUCUGCUCGCCAGCGGACUUCUUAGAGGGAUAAACGGUGUUUUAGCCGUAAGAAACGAGGCAAUAACAGGUCUGUGAUGCCCUUAGAUACUCUAGGCCGCACGCGUGCUACAAUGGCGUGUGCAGAAAGCUUGUUCGAGGUUUGUCUAAAGAGAACUGGCCGUUUGGUCGAGGUUUGCUCGCAAGGGUAGGCUUAGAUCGGCGGAGAAGUGACUUUAGUUAGCAGGCCGAGAGAAACCGUAGUCGAAAGAUUACGGCAAUCAUAAAUACACGCCGUGAUUUGGGAUUGGGGAUUGCAAUUGUUGCCCAUGAACGAGGAAUUCCCAGUAAGCGCAAUUCAUCAUAUUGCGUUGAUUACGUCCCUGCCCUUUGUACACACCGCCCGUCGCUACUACCGAUUGGAAGUUUUAGUGAGGCAUUUGGACCUGCUAUCCAAAGGGGAGGCAACUCUUCUGGGAAGGCGGGGAAGUCUGUCGAACUCAAAUUUCUAGAGGAAGUAAAAGUCGUAACAAGGUUUCCGU